AUGCUGCGGCUGUGCAUCCUCGCUGUCUCUCUCCCUGGCUGUGGCGGUGCCUUACGUCCCUCUGUUGGGCGCUAAGGAGCUUCCCAGCCUGCCUAGGAUCGUCGGGGGAGAAGAUGCCAUGGCCGGAGAGUUCCCGUACCAGGUGUCCAUUCAGAAGCAGGGUCUGUUCGGUCGCUCCCACAUCUGCGGUGCCUCUGUCUUGAAUGAGCACCACGUCUUGACGGCUGCCCACUGCCUGAAGGGAGCAAACGCCAACUCUCUUUACGUGGUUCUCGGCGAGUAUGACCUUAGCAAGACCUCUGGAGACGAGCAGGUCAUCAUUGCCGGUGAGCUGGUGAUUCACGAGCACUACGACGGCACCACCUUUACCAACGACGUGGGAAUCAUCCGCCUGGUGCCCUCCAUCACCUUCAACGACAUGGUGAAGGCUGUGGAGCUUCCUACACAGAUGGGGCUGGUCGCGGUGGGGACAGAGUGCAUCACAACAGGCUGGGGCGCAACUGUGGAGGGCGGCUCCUCGUCUAACAUUCUGCAGAAGGUGACAGUGCCCGUGGUGAGUGACUCUGACUGCCGCGCAUCCUACGGCAUUACUGACAUCGCUGACCACAUGCUCUGCGCCGGCGUGCUUGAGGGAGGUAAGGACGCCUGCCAGGGAGAUUCCGGCGGCCCCUUCGUUUGCGCUGGGGUUCAGCACGGUAUCACCUCCUGGGGCUACGGCUGCGCGCGCCCUGACUUCCCCGGCGUGUACACAGAGGUCGCUUACUUCGUCGACUGGAUCAACCACCACUCUGCGUGAGGCGUAUGAGUGACGGCGACGCGUGACGGGCAGGGAGAUGCGAGCCCGUCUGUCUUGACUGCACGAGGAGGAAGCAAACACACCGAUUCUCUUCCUGGUGAAAGAUAAAUACUGGAGUGAUUUUUCCUUUUUUUCGGUCACUCAAAAAAUAAAAUACACAGAAUUUGA